rnacentral:rRNA from 1 species
GGCCCAAACUCCUACGGGAGGCAGCAGUAGGGAAUUUUCGUCAAUGGGGGGAACCCUGAACGAGCAAUGCCGCGUGAGUGAGGAAGGUCUUCGGAUCGUAAAGCUCUGUUGUAAGAGAAAAACGACAUUCAUAGGGAAUGAUGAGUGAGUGAUGGUAUCUUACCAGAAAGUCACGGCUAACUACGUGCCAGCAGCCGCGGUAAUACGUAGGUGGCGAGCGUUAUCCGGAAUGAUUGGGCGUAAAGGGUGCGUAGGUGGCAGAUCAAGUCUGGAGUAAAAGGUAUGGGCUCAACCCGUACUGGCUCUGGAAACUGAUCAGCUAGAGAACAGAAGAGGACGGCGGAACUCCAUGUGUAGCGGUAAAAUGCGUAGAUAUAUGGAAGAACACCGGUGGCGAAGGCGGCCGUCUGGUCUGGAUUCUGACACUGAAGCACGAAAGCGUGGGGAGCAAAUAGGAUUAGAUACCCUAGUAGUCCACGCCGUAAACGAUGAGAACUAGGUGUUGGGGGAAUAACUCAGUGCCGCAGUUAACGCAGUAAGUUCUCCGCCUGGGGAGUAUGCACGCAAGUGUGAAACUCAAAGGAAUUGACGGGGGCCCGCACAAGCGGUGGAGUAUGUGGUUUAAUUCGAAGCAACGCGAAGAACCUUGCCAGGCCUUGACAUCCCUUGCAGAGGUAUAGAGAUAUAUCCGAGGUUACCAAGGAGACAGGUGGUGCAUGGUUGUCGUCAGCUCGUGUCGUGAGAUGUUGGGUUAAGUCCCGCAACGAGCGCAACCCUUGUGAUAUGUUACUAACAUUGAGUUGAGGACUCAUAUCAGACUGCCGGUGAUAAACCGGAGGAAGGUGGGGAUGACGUCAAAUCAUCAUGCCCCUUAUGGCCUGGGCUACACACGUACUACAAUGGCGUCUACAAAGAGCGGCAAGCCUGUGAAGGCAAGCGAAUCUCAUAAAGGGCGUCUCAGUUCGGAUUGAAGUCUGCAACCCGACUUCAUGAAGCUGGAAUCGCUAGUAAUCGCGAAUCAGCAUGUCGCGGUGAAUACGUUCUCGGGCCUUGUACACACCGCCCGUCAAACCAUGGGAGUUGGUAAUGCCCGAAGCCGGUGGCAUAACCCUUCGGGGAGUGAGCCGUCGAAGGCAGGACCGAUGACUGGGGUUAAGUCGUAACAAGGUAUCCCUACGGGAACGUGGGGAUG